UUAAAAUAAAAUAAAAUAAAAUUGGCACGACACAGAGAACAUUAGUGUGGCCCCUGUGUAAGGAGGACACGCAAAUUUGCAUUCCAUAUUUUA
rnacentral:snRNA from 1 species